ensembl:lncRNA
UUUAAUUAUGGUUUUACACCAUGUCCAUCACCAUGGUAUGUGUACCUCACAAAUUAUAAAAUGUGCACAUGGUUAUAUUUCUUUCUCUCUUCCAGUUUGCAGGGACUGACUUUGGGAGGGGUUUUUUUUCUCUUUAUUUUGUUGGUGAUAUUAUUGUAAGAAAGCUAGAGAGUGAAUUCUGGGUUUUUCUCUGUAAGUGCUGAGGUUCAUGAUUUCCUAGCGCCUUCUGGAAACAAUUUCCAAUUUCAUGGUCCAAUCACAAGGAAAUCUCUGUUACCUGCCCACAGAAGUCUCAUUCUUGAAGGAACGGAAAAGAUUUGGAUCAUUUGCAUCAAUCUCCAACCAUUAAUAAUGGUGCUCUGACCAUGGUCUUGAAGGAAUAAUACAAGGACAUUUUCUGACUCAGCAUGGAGAAUAGAGGCUCUCAAGACAUCCAGCAAUGAAGUGGAGUUUGACCUCUGAUGGAUGAAAUCUGCCGGAAUGGAAGCUAAGCUCUUUGAAGAGGAGCAGGUGUCACCGUAUUUUAUAUAUGCCACAUGUCUGGGGACUUCAGAGGAGUCAAAAAAUGCAAAAUAUGAAACAAAGGUAGAAGAACGUGAUUGCCAACUUGAGUUCCAUAAUGUUCUGCUUGAAUCCGAAUGGAGUUCUAUGUCACGGUUAGUAAGCUACCCUGAGACAUCCUUGGAACCAAGCAGGGUUACAGGCCAUGUUACUGCUGCUGCUGCGCCUGAGGUAAAGCAUCUUUGUGGAAAAUUACUGUAUUCUUCAGGGCACAAACCUAAGGACAGUCUUACACACCUGCCCUCACAUGAGGCAUGUUCCUCACUGCUCCUUCCAAGAGAAAGCUCAGCUGAGAAAUCAGAGAGGGUUCAAGAGAUCAGAGUAAUAACACACAAACCAAGUGCGAUCACUUUUUCUGAUUUUGAAUUUUUAUCACAUAGCGCUAACGCUAAACUCCAUAUCUGUGAGGUCACAGACACAGAGGCGUCUUCAUCUGAAGAGGAGGAGGAAGAUGAUGAGGAUGACGUUUUUACAGAGCUGCCACUGUAUGGGGCAUUUUACAAUGGUCUUUAUAAAAGGACUAUUCUCCUUGGGAAACAAGAUAAAUGUGAGCAUACGAGAAGCCAGGAUAUCUGUCAUUUAGAUGGCUGCAAUGAUCACACUGGAAAGAAAUUGAAUGACCAUGAAAAGGAAGAAAAACAAAUGGACAUGGUGACCCAACCAGAAAAAGGAUCUGAGUGGUCAGACUCUAUGUCAUCUCUCAUGAAGAAACUGGAACAAUUGAAUUUAGAUAUUGAAGAGGCUCUCAGUGCUGGCUCUUCUCCUUCCAGCACUCCUUCUACCAAAAAGCGCAAACAGCCGUGCCCUGUUAAGGUGGAGACAGGCCUUCUUCACAGAGAUCAUCAGAGAAAGGGAAUCUGUGGGAAUAAGAGGGCAGGCUACCAAGAUUUAGAUGGUUUGCCAAGCUCAGUGUCAACUGGAGCACGACCCAAAACUGAAGUUGAAGGUCUGCCACUGUCAUUCAGACUGAAGUUUGAAACAUUGGGGCCCGCCUGUUUGUUGAUUGAAAUACACUAAUGUACUCUCAGGAAAGAUUUUUUCCCUAGUUAAAUAGCUUUCUGCUUCUCUUUUGCAACUGCCCAACUACUUUAGUUUGCUCAAGUUACAUUAGAUCUCAGAAAUCACUAAAGAAAAUGAGAUAUUUGACUGCACUUUACUUAAUUUUUUUUAAGUCAGAUGUUCAAGAAAGCACUGAUAUCUUUGCUUAUGCUUCCUCCCUACCAAUACAAUCUAAAUAACUUUGAAGUGAUGUUACAGUAAUUUUGGUUUUUGGUCUACAAGUGUCUGUGUGUUUGCAGUGGGAGGUGCUGGAAGAGAAGGAAUAAGUGUGAACUUAUCAUCUUAUUCUUCUUUCCUGAUCUCUGCAAUCCCUCCUAGUAUUGUACUUCAAGGAAUGUUGGCAUAAUAAAUACCAAACUCAGAAAACUUCA